GCUAUCAACAAAUCUUAAGAAGGAAGCCAACCUUCACCUUAUUUCUUUUCCUCUGCCAGUUCGUCGUUUCGUCCCCUCCCUCUUUAUUGAACCUCAGUUUUAGUUUGCUUUCAACCUUCAAGGAGAUUCAGCCGCCGCCUCUGCUCCGACCGCCGUCGGGUCCAAGUCCGGCGUCUCGUCUGUUCUUCCCUGGUGCCCCUCGCACUACUCUCAUCUUCUCUCAAUUUAGCGAAGAACCCAAAUGAGAAGCCCUAAUUUCAAAAUCCGAAAUCGUCGUCACCCGAGCCCGAAAUUCGGCAAUACAACAGCCUCCUCUUCGACGUGGUCGAAGUUCUCGCACCGGAAGUCCUCUCCGUUCCCCCUUCUUUUCCGAUGUGGAGCCCUAAUUCUUAGAAGAAGGAAAUUACUACUGUCGCGACUGGAAGGCCAACGAACGGCUGAGCUUCGCCCGUCUCUGCCUUGAAUCCAUGCUCGAGAAGCAGAGAAAGAGACAGAGAGUGAGAUCGAGGGGGAGAGCAGCGAGAGAGGUUGAGAGAGAAAGAUCGAGAGGGAGCAUACCUGAGGCAGGGGUGGCGGUGUGAUGGAGACAGCGGCGGUGACGGCGGGCCUUGCCGGAGGGGCGGAUUUUAGAGGGGAAAAUGGAGGCAGAAAACCCUAGAAUUUAGGCAUUCUUGAGGUUCGAGUGGCAGUGUAGAAUGGACAAGCAAAGACUUCUAUUUCAUUAAGCGUAUCAGGUUAAGCUGUGAUGCAGAUGGUAGCAAGCAGAGCAAAGCCCUCGGUGUACAUAUAUAUAAUUUAGGCUCGGGAUUUCAUGUCUUCAUACAUGUAAUCCACUUGAGUUGUUUCCGCUGCAACACUUAAUGUACCUUACUUUAUUGAUGUGUUGUAGAGAUUUUAAACCAAUAGCUUCGAGAAUUAUAUCAUUUAGACAACUUGUCUUUAUGUUAUUGUAAGUUGUCUACUCGUGAGUUUUAAAAGUGAUUGUAUAUGAUUACCAGACAUUAUGGUAAAGUAUUGCUCAAGUAAAAUAAUUAUUUUUAUUGAAACCUUUUUAUUUUUCAUUUUCUUUCUCUGUUCCCCGGUCACACCUUUCCCCGGCUUAACUAUACACUAGAUUAGGCCGGGCUGUGACAGAGUGGUAUCAGAGCAGGUCAUUUGCUCUGAGCCUAAACAUUUCCUUGAGUCUAGUCUAAAUUUGAAUCUUUGGACUAGUAUGAGUAAUAUAGUAAAAGCUCUGCGCUCCAUCUCAUCCAGCCUAGCCAAGCCAGGUACGGAUUUUCAGAGUUUUAAAGUAGCAUGUUACAUUUUUAAACAAGUUUGAGAUAUGAGUUGCAGUUUUGCAAGUAUUAGUAUGAUGAAAACUUAUAUAUUUUAAAAUGAGUGAGUAUGGACAACAUGAGUUAUUUUGUCCACAUGAGUUAUAUAUGAGUAUCCUCUACUAGUAUAAACUUCUUGAAUGGAUAAAAGUGUUGUUCAUAUUUUAAUAUUUUUAUUUUGAUACAUGGAGUAUCUUCAUUUGUUACAUACCAAUAGAAGGAUCUUUUGGAUGACGAUGUGAACGAAUAUAUGUGGAUGCAGAUGUAGACAGUAUGAUGAUACAAUAGCAAUGUAUGUCAGUGUGAUGUUGUACGGACGUUAUGCAGUUAGGGCAUCGCAAUUAGUACUAAGAGCCUUUUGCAACGUAUAUUUCCAUCUUUUGUAUGAGAACUCAUUGAGGCAGAAUUUCCCAUGAUGUGAAACGGCCAAAGUGGUCAUUUGCUAGGUCGUUGAGCUUUAAUUGCUUAGAUGAUUGAAUUUUUGUGUAUGAGUUUUUAUACCUUAGUUGGUUUAUGGUUAUGUAGUAGUUUGACUUUACGGAUGGAAUAAAAGCUUAGUUAUGGGAAAUUGUGUA